UGCGCAGGCGGACUUUUAAGUCAGUGGUGAAAUCCCGAGGCUCAACCUCGGAACUGCCAUUGAUACUGGAAGUCUCGAAUUUGGUUGAAGUGGGCGGAAUGUAGCAUGUAGCGGUGAAAUGCUUAGAUAUGCUACAGAACACCGAUCGCGAAGGCAGCUCACUAAGCCAAUAUUGACGCUCAGGCACGAAAGCGUGGGGAGCAAACAGGAUUAGAUACCCUGGUAGUCC
rnacentral:rRNA from 1 species